rnacentral:misc_RNA from 1 species
GAUGAAGAACGCAGCGAAAUGCGAUAAGUGAUGUGAAUUGCAGAAUUCAGUGAAUCAUCGAAUCUUUGAACGCACAUUGCGCCCAUUAGUAUUCUAGUGGGCAUGCCUGUUCGAGCGUCAUUUCAACCCUUAAGCCUAGCUUAGUGUUGGGAAUCUGCUGUAUUGCAGUUCCUCAAAUACAACGGCGGAUCUGUAACAUCCUCUGAGCGUAGUAAAUUUUUAUCUCGCUUUUGUUAGGUGUUGCAGCUCUCAGCCGCUAAACCCCCCAAUUUUUGUGGUUGACCUCGGAUCAGGUAGGAAUACCCGCUGAACUUAAGCAUAUCAAUAAGCGGAGGA